CCCUUAGAUGUUCUGGGCCGCACGCGCGCUACACUGACGGAGCCAACGAGUCUUUUCCUUGUCCGGAAGGACUGGGUAAUCUUGUGAAACUUCGUCGUGCUGGGGAUAGAGCAUUGCAAUUAUUGCUCUUCAACGAGGAAUUCCUAGUAAGCGUGAGUCAUCAGCUCGCGUUGAUUACGUCCCUGCCCUUUGUACACACCGCCCGUCGCUCCUACCGAUUGAAUGAUCCGAUGAAUAUCAUGGAUUGAGGAUGCAAGCAGGUUCGCCUGUCUUCAUCUUCGAGAAGUGAAGUAAAUCUUAUCAUUUAGAGGAAGGAGAAGUCGUAACA
rnacentral:rRNA from 1 species